GGUGCAGGGCCUCUUCUCGAGCGCUGAUUUCCAGGGUGCUGUUCCAGAUGCCAUAUCCAAAAUAAAUGAGCAGACCUGUGGGGCGAGGGGAAAGGUACAGGUAAGCUGCGCAUGCCAGCUCUGUGCCCUCCACCUCUUCAUUCUUUGGGAUCACAGGAGAGCCAGUGUCUCAGCUGCCACUGAUUGCAAAGCCCUGUGAGUGCUCCGCCCGCUCUGCAUCUGGCAGUGCACCUCUGCCAGCAGACAGCCUCACGAUUGCAUGAUCCACCUUCACACUCUACCUUCACCCUCCCUCCUUGGAAUCCCACCAGCCCUGUUGCCAACCUCAUCCUGGCCUUCAGGAUUAUUCUUGCUCGUCUGAGCACAAUUUUGACAUUGGAAGAGCCCGUUUUUUUUUCCUCUGCCUCCAAGGAGAAUUUCAAGCUUAUUUAUGGGACAUGUCAUCAAGAAUUUAGUUAUCAGGUCCCAAUUCAUUGCUCUUUCUUUCCCUCUUCUUCUUUUUCUCACCUGGCUGCUUUGGGUCAAUUUCCAGUUGGAUUUCAGAUAAUAGCUCAGGUAUAGACCAUGAGGUGUGUCUUCUCUUUGGGAUAUUUCUAUUUUGAGAUAGGAUUCAUGAGGUCCAUUGCCCGUAUCACAAGUCCUGUCCUCUAAAUCUACAGACAAGAAUUUGAUUUCCUCAGAAAGACUGAAAAAAUUCCUACAUGGCAAAUCCUAUGGUAAGGGCAAGCUAUUCUAACAGGUGGUUACAUUAUAAUAAAAACCCGCAGGGAACAGCAGGCCCGAAGGAUGCCCUGGAAGAUACCAUGGUGCAGCAUUCUCACUGAGCCCCUGCUAGUUCCAUGUUCCCUGAGACUCUGCCCAACCCCUUGAGAGGUUCUUUCACAAAACUGCAUCAACUAAAAGGAAAAUGAAGGCUGCUUUGUGCUCACUUUACUGGGAUUAAUACACAUUUGGUGUUUGUAUUCCUUUUCUUGUCUGAAGGAAAAGAAACAUGUGCUGGAUAAUCUUGUUGGGGCUUGUGCCUCGUUUUACUCUCUGAGUUGUGUUCUUCUGAAGGUCAAAAGCUUAGCAAAACAUUGUUACAAAAAUGCCGCAAUUAAGAUUUAUUUAGAAAAGCUUGGAUAAAAAAAUGUGUCUUAAGAAGUUUAUCAAGUUAUGACUCAGCCUAAUCAUGUAAAUCUUCAGUUUCAUAAGCAGCUCCAUUUAAAAAUAUCUCUACUGUUUUCCCCCAGAAAGUUACACUAUGUAUAGACAGAUUAAGAAAAAUCUGAUAUCUUGGAGGCUCAGAAGUUCAGAGGUGACAUAUUUAUCUUAUAAGACCAUUAAGGAUUUUAUAGCCAGUUUGGGAUUGUGGGUUGGAUAUAUUUUAUAUAUGCAAAAAAUAGUUUUUGAAAAACAAGUCUUUGUAAUUAAAUUGUCUGCCCUGCUUGAUAAAACUAUGCUCCCCUUAGAGCAGUGGCACGCAUUUGAGUCAGCUGGAGGGCUUGUUAAACCCUAAAUUGCUCUCAGAGAUUCUGAUUCAGUAGACCUGGGGUGGAGUUCAAAAAUCACAUUUCUUUUUUUUUUGAGACAGAGUCUUGCUCUGUUGCCCAGGCUGGAGUGCAGUGGCAUAAUCUUGGCUCACUGUAACCUCCGCCUCCAGGGUUCAAGAGAUUCUCCUGCCUCAGUCUCCCGAGUAGCUGGGAUUACAGGUGCCCGCCACCACGCCUGGCUAAUUUUUGUAUUUUUAGUAGAGACGGAGUUUCACCAUGUUGGCCAGGCUGGUCUCGAAUUCCUGACCUCAGGUGAUCUGCCCACCUUGGCCUCCCAAAGUGCUGGGAUUACAGGCAUGAGCCACCACGCCCAGCCUCAAAAUCACAUUUCUAACUAGUUCCCCGAUGACAUUGAUGCUGCUGGUCUGGGGUCACACAUUGAGGACCAUUGAUCUAGAUCAUUGUCAACUUGGCUGCCUAUUAAAAUUACCUGGGAACUUAAAAAAUAUUCCUCAAUACUCGGCCACCAGACCAAUUGAAUCAGAAAAUCUCUGUUGUGGAAGCCUGGGCUUAGAAUGUUUCAGAAGCAACCCAGGGUGAUACUGAUGUGUAGCUAGGGUUGAGAAUCUUUGUUCUGGGUGAAACUUAGUCAUAUAGCAGCCUUCAAAAAUCAUGAUACUAAAGCAGUUAGCAGCAGGUGCCCAGAAAUACUAGCAGUCCUUCCCAAAUGUGAUUUGCGGGCUGUGCAUCAGAAUCACCGGGUGCUUGUUGAACUGCAGACUUCUGUGCCCUCUGGCUGGCCAGCCCCACUCUGCAGGGUGGCAUUCUUUUGAGUCAGCGAGUAGCAGUUUCUGGAGGGAGUUUGGAGUUUGUGCUAUCAGCAAGAUUACAAAAGGCGCUCAGGGAGUUUUCCUCUGCCUGAUAGCUGGAAGGGCAGCCUGAGUCGCUGCAGGUUCACAUCGUGCUUUGGCAUAUGAUAGCCAGUCUGUCCAUACUUGUGGACAAUGAAUCAUUUCAGAUUUUUAAAAGAAAGGCAGGAAAUACAUGUUUCUUGUUGCUUUUCUCAACAUUUUCUCAUUUAAGCCCCAAAGAAUAACCAGGUCAAGGCUGAUAAAAUUAUCUGCAUUUUUACAGAUAAGUAAACUGAGGCCCAAAGAAGUUAAGUAAAUUUCCCAAAGUCACAAGACAAAGGAGGGGCAGAGCUGUGAUUUGAAGUUGGUGCUGUUUGACUCCAAAGGUAAGGGCCCCUGCCACCUGACUGUUUUUGCAAAAUGCCUCUGGUGCUUCAGGAGCCAUAAAUAUUCUGCAGAACUGGCUAUAGAGUUUUCAAUGUAAAAUGAAAACAUGGGUCCUCUCGUUCAGAAAUUAUUAAGAAUUCAAGAUGGCAGCAGCAGAGCAUUAAACCAAGCAUGGGACCCUGUGCACAGCUGUGUGCCCAUGAGGCCAGCCCUGAUGCUAUGUGUUAGGCUCUAUCGAACGUUCUAAUGAAAUGAGUCUGCUCAGAGGCACCCUGGUGGGGUAGUAGGAGCCCCAGAUUUGAGCAUGGGUAUACUGAGUUUUAGUAAUAGCUCUUUGAAUAACUUCCUGUUGACUUUGAGCAUGUUAUUUAACUUCUUGGAGGUUCAGUUUAGUCAUCCAUUAAAUGGAGAGAGGGAGAAGUGGGAAGGUGGUGGACUACAUCUGUAUUUCUCCAAUUCCAGUUAGUUAUAUACCACAUUUUUAGUAUAUAACCAUUUAGGCUAUAACCAUGGCCUCUGGCCCCACACUCCCUGAGUUCUAAUCUUGGCUCUGCUAUAUUCUAGCUAUGUGACCUCAGGCAAGUGCCUCAGUUUCCUCAUCUGUAAAAUAGAGAUUGCUGUGAGGAUUACAUAAAUAAGUAAGUGAAGCCCUCAGAAUAAUGGCUGAUAUGUGAUAAGCACGGUACAAGUGCUCAUUAUUACUAUUCCUAUGAAUCAUACGGUAUCUGUACUAGUAGUACUAAUGUUUUUUCUUUAAUAUGACUCACACUUUAAAUUUAAAAAAGUCAUCUAUAGUCUCUUUCCAAGUAAUAGUAUUUGUGAAAUCACCAGAUUCAUGUGUAUGUGUGGUUUUUCUAACCCAGGUGAAAAUGUACAAUAACUGUACAAUAUUUUUAAAAGUUCAUUCAUAUGCUUUCUAAUACCAGUUGAAAAUAUUACCAAUGGAAUGGGCACCACACUGUGGGUAGCAUUGUACUAGACACUGAAGGCCCUUUUCAGCUUUAAUA
ensembl:lncRNA SLC7A14-AS1 SLC7A14 antisense RNA 1